rnacentral:piRNA from 1 species
UGAUGGUCUAAUCAAAUCGCA